ACUCCUACGGGAGGCAGCAGUGGGGAAUUUUGCGCAAUGGGGGCAACCCUGACGCAGCAACGCCGCGUGAGUGAUGAAGGCCUUUGGGUCGUAAAGCUCUGUCAGAGGGAAAGAACUGUGGGCGGCUAAUAUCCGUUCCACUUGACGGUACCCUCAAAGGAAGCACCGGCUAACUCCGUGCCAGCAGCCGCGGUAAUACGGAGGGUGCGAGCGUUGUUCGGAAUUAUUGGGCGUAAAGCGCGUGUAGGCGGUUUUGUAAGUCUGAUGUGAAAGCCCUGGGCUCAACCUGGGAAGUGCAUUGGAUACUGCAAGACUUGAGUACGGGAGAGGGCAGUGGAAUUCCUAGUGUAGGAGUGAAAUCCGUAGAUAUUAGGAGGAACACCGGUGGCGAAGGCGGCUGCCUGGACCGAUACUGACGCUGAGACGCGAAAGCGUGGGGAGCAAACAGGAUUAGAUACCCUGGUAGUCCACGCCGUAAACGAUGAGAACUAGGUGUCGCGGGUA
rnacentral:rRNA from 1 species